UACGGAGGGGGGCUAGCGUUGUUCGGAAUUACUGGGCGUAAAGCGCACGUAGGCGGCUUUGUAAGUUAGAGGUGAAAGCCCAGGGCUUAACCCUGGAAUUGCCUUUAAGACUGCAUCGCUAGAAUCGUGGAGAGGUGAGUGGAAUUCCGAGUGUAGAGGUGAAAUUCGUAGAUAUUCGGAAGAACACCAGUGGCGAAGGCGACUCACUGGACACGUAUUGACGCUGAGGUGCGAAAGCGUGGGGAGCAAACAG
rnacentral:rRNA from 1 species